rnacentral:rRNA from 1 species
CUACGGGGUGCAGCAGUGGGGAAUAUUGCACAAUGGAGGAAACUCCGAUGCAGCAACGCCGCGUGGAGGAUGACACUUUUCGGAGCGUAAACUCCUUUUAUAUAGGAAGAAGAUGACGGUACUAUAUGAAUAAGCGCCGGCUAACUCCGUGCCAGCAGCCGCGGUAAUACGGAGGGCGCAAGCGUUACUCGGAAUCACUGGGCGUAAAGAGCGUGUAGGCGGAUUAAAAAGUCAGAAGUGAAAUCCUAUAGCUUAACUAUAGAACUGCUUCUGAAACUCUUAAUCUAGAAUAUGGGAGAGGUAGAUGGAAUUUCUAGUGUAGGGGUAAAAUCCGUAGAGAUCAGAAGGAAUACCGAUUGCGAAGGCGAUCUACUAGAACAUUAUUGACGCUGAGACACGAAAGCGUGGGGAGCAAACAGGAUUAGAUACCCUCGUAGUC